AGAUUCUCUCUUUGCCUGCCACCAUCCACGUAAGAUGUGACUUGCUCCUCUUUGCCUUCUGCUAUGAUUGUGAAGCCUCUCCAGCCUUGUGGAACUUGUACAAGGGUUUAAAUGAAGAUUUUGAGAUGAGAAAAUUAUCCUGGAUUAUUCAGGUGGGUCCUAAAUACCAUCACAAGUGUCCUUACAAGGAAGAGGCAGCAGGAGAUGGGACACACAGUAAAGGUGAUAAUGAAGAUGGAGGUGGAGAUUGGAGGGAUGCGGCCACAAGCCAAUGAAUGCCUGCAGCUACCAGAAGCCACAGAGAGCUCCGCUAGAGCCUCUGGAGGGAGCUUGGCCCUGUCAACACCUUGAUUUGAACCCAGUGAAACAAAUUUCCAACUUCUGUCCUCCUGGACUGUGAAGUAAUAAAUUUCUGUUUUUUUAAGCUACC
rnacentral:lncRNA from 1 species